GAUGAACGCUGGCGGCGUGCCUAAUACAUGCAAGUUGUACGGAAAGGCCCUUCGGGGUACUCGAGUGGCGGACGGCUGAGUAACGCGUGGGAACGUGCCCCAAAGUGAGGGAUAACGCACCGAAAGGUGUGCUAAUACCGCCUAUGGUCUUCGGAUUAAAGCUUCGGCGCUUUGGGAGCGGCCCGCGUACGAUUAGAUAGUUGGUGAGGUAAUGGCUCACCAAGUCGACGAUCGUUAGCUGGUCUGAGAGGAUGAUCAGCCAGACUGGGACUGAGACACGGCCCAGACUCCUACGGGAGGCAGCAGUAAGGAAUCUUCCACAAUGGGGGCAACCCUGAUGGAGCAACGCCGCGUGCAGGAUGAAGGUUUUCGGAUCGUAAACUGCUUUUAUAAGUGAAGAAUAUGACGGUAACUUAUGAAUAAGGAUCGGCUAACUACGUGCCAGCAGCCGCCGUAA
rnacentral:rRNA from 1 species